rnacentral:rRNA from 1 species
GACGAACGCUGGCGGCGUGCUUAACACAUGCAAGUCGAACGGAAAGGCCCUGCUUUUGUGGGGUGCUCGAGUGGCGAACGGGUGAGUAACACGUGAGUAACCUGCCCUUGACUGUGGGAUAACUUCAGGAAACUGGGGCUAAUACCGGAUAGGAGCUCCUGCUGCAUGGUGGGGGUUGGAAAGUUUCGGCGGUUGGGGAUGGACUCCCGGCUUAUCAGCUUGUUGGUGGGGUAGUGGCUUACCAAGGCUUUGACGGGUAGCCGGCCUGAGAGGGUGACCGGCCACAUUGGGACUGAGAUACGGCCCAGACUCCUACGGGAGGCAGCAGUGGGGAAUAUUGCACAAUGGGCGGAAGCCUGAUGCAGCAACGCCGCGUGCGGGAUGACGGCCUUCGGGUUGUAAACCGCUUUCGCCUGUGACGAAGCGUGAGUGACGGUAAUGGGUAAAGAAGCACCGGCUAACUACGUG